GACGAACCUUGCUAACGUUAUUCGGAAUUACUGGGCUUAAAGGGUGCGUAGGCGGCCCGGUAAGUCCGCUGUAAAAGUCAAAGGCUCAACCUUUGAAUGCCGGUGGAUACUGUCGGGCUAGAGUCCGGAAGAGGCGAGUGGAAUUCCUGGUGUAGCGGUGAAAUGCGCAGAUAUCAGGAGGAACACCGGUGGCGAAGGCAGGUCUCUGGGCCAUGAACUGACGCUGGAGAAGCGAAAGCAUGGG
rnacentral:rRNA from 1 species